UAUGCACUGAUGAUAUUUAUUUAAAUAUGACACAAAGGAAAAUUUAACAUUUCAUAGGGAAACAUACAACAAAACUACUGAGUUCAUUUUUAUCAACAAGUGUUGGAGUCCAGCUCGUGGAGUGAAUUAUGGGUGGGAAAACAUACUGGGAGCCAGGCGAAAAAGUCCGGAUUAUGAACUCUUCAAAGUUUACUGAUCAGAGAGACACAUGUAUUCUUCAAAUGCUGAUAGACUUGAUAUAAAGUACACUCUUGGAAGUUUCUAGAGUUUUUUCCUAACACACAAGAUCUACUGAGAUAUAAAUGAUUACGCCUCAGAUCUUGGUUAAUUAGACAGAGAUGCAAAUAGUAAGAUAUACAUCAGAGUAAAGUUUAUCAUACCAUUGUCUCAAGUAUCUUUCUCCCAAAUGCCUUUGGUCUCUAUUGUGGACUCUGUUUCUUGUCCUGAGUUCCAAAGUUUGCUUUUAAUCCAACAAGUAGAGUUUGCAUUUGGCUUCGGUAGAUUAUUAAUUUAUUAUAUUGACAUUAGAUUGCUAUUUCAAUAAGAAAAGGGAGUUUUGGUGAGCCAAGUUACUGUACGAUUCAAGACCUGGAAUGGAUUCUUACCUCCUGGCCCUCUACAAACAAGUGGUAGCCCACGGGAGUGGUCUGAUCAGUUCAGCUAAGCAUUAAGGCCUUCCUGAAUCUGAAUAUACUUAAAAGUUUGAGAUUUCAGUCUUUUAAAAAUACUCAUUUUGGAAUUCUCAGACUCUGAACACUGUAAGAAUCGCUCUUUCUGUAACUGGCCGAUGGUCCCCGGUUGAAUGGGAUUAUGUUGGAUGUAUCAGGAGUCAAUGACAUUCAAGGAUGUGGCGGUGGUGGACUUCACUUGGGAAGAAUGGCGGCCCCUGGACCCUGCUCAGGGGAACUUAUACAAAGAAGUGAUGCUGGAGAAUUAUAGAAAUCUCGUCUCCCUGGGGCUUCCUGUUUCCAAACCAGCUGUGAUCUUCCAUCUGGAGAGAGAAGAAGUCCCAUAGGUACCGAAGGGUAGAGACUCAGGAUUCCCACGUCUGGAGUUCCUUAGUCAAGCGACCAUGUAUGAAGCAAUGAAGUCAACUCCAAAGAAUGAUAUUUCUCUGGAAAAAUCAUGUAAAAAGAAACUUAAGACAGAUGGUCCCUGGGAUAACAAAGAGGGAGAAACCUGGGAGUGUGAUAUUAGACUACAGCAACAGAGGAGUAACCAGGAAAGACAAUCCAGGAAACAGACGAUUGUAUGCAAAAAAAGUUUGUGCUAAGGUUAAUUCUAAUGAAUCUUGUGUAUUUGGAGGUUUCAGUUUGGGGUCAAACCUUAUUCCACAAGAGAAAAUUCAUAAAGUAAAAAGGUUUUAGAAAUGUGGCUCAUAUGGAAAGCAUUUCAAAAAAUAUAUAGAUCCCAGAAAAUAUGAUAAGACUCUUUUCCAGGAAGAAGCUUUGCAGGAAGGAAGUCAUUAAGUUACCCUUCAGACCUUAUUCAACCUCAUCGAAAACAUACUAAAGGAAAACCAUACAAAUGUGAGAAAGCCUCCAGCAAUAGUAAAUCUCAUACAAAUUGUCAGAAAAUUCAUCUUGGACAGAAAACCUAUGGAUGCUAUGAAUGUGGGAAAUCUUCUAGCUGCAGGAACUAUAUUACUAUACAUCAAAGAAUUCAUACUGGGGAGAAACCCUUUAAAUGCAAGGAAUGUGGUGAAUCUUUUCCCUGGCAUAGACAGCUUACUGAACAUAAGAGAAUUCAUACUGGAACAAAGAAGCCCUUUGAAUGUAAUCAAUGUGGUAAAGUCUAAGUUCUGACCUUACUCAACAUGAGAAAAUUCAUACCGGAGAGAAACCCUUCGAAUGUUAUGCAUGUGGGGAAUCUUUUACCUGGCCUUCACAACUUACUGAACUGAACACCAGAGAAUUCAUACUGGAGCAAAGAAACCCUUUGAAUGCAAUCAGUGUGGGAAAGCUUUCAAUCGAAGUGCACACCUUAUUGUACACCAGAGAACACAUACUGGAGAAAAACCCUUUGACUGUUAUGCAUAUGGGAAAUCUUUCAGUCGUAGUGAAAACCUUACUCGACAUGAGAGAAUUCAUACCAGAGAGAAAUCCUUUGAGUGCAAACAAUGUGGGAAAAACUUUAGUUGCAGAAGUGAUGUUAAAAUACAUCAGAAAAUUCACACUGGAGAAAAUUACCUUUUUAAUGUAAUGAAUACGGCGGGUCCUUUUAUCUAGCAUACUUAAUUUAUUAAACAGGAUGUAGACAACUCAUUUGAUUGUAGUAAAUGUGGGAGGUCUUUUAGCUACAGAAUAUGGUUUACUGUAAAUAAAGAUUUGUACCAAAUAUUAAGUUUUUAAAUGUAA